rnacentral:rRNA from 1 species
GACGAACGCUGGCGGCGUGCUUAACACAUGCAAGUCGAACGGUAAGGCCCUUCGGGGUACACGAGUGGCGAACGGGUGAGUAACACGUGGGUGAUCUGCCCUGCACUUCGGGAUAAGCCUGGGAAGCUGGGUCUAAUACCGGAUAGGACCACUGCCUGCAUGGGUGGUGGUGGAAAGCUUUUGCGGUGUGGGAUGGGCCCGCGGCCUAUCAGCUUGUUGGUGGGGUGAUGGCCUACCAAGGCGACGACGGGUAGCCGGCCUGAGAGGGUGAUCGGCCACACUGGGACUGAGAUACGGCCCAGACUCCUACGGGAGGCAGCAGUGGGGAAUAUUGCACAAUGGGCGCAAGCCUGAUGCAGCGACGCCGCGUGAGGGAUGACGGCCUUCGGGUUGUAAACCUCUUUCAGCACCGACGAAGCGCAAGUGACGGUAGGUGCAGAAGAAGGACCGGCCAACUACGUGCCAGCCGCCGCAGUAA